rnacentral:lncRNA from 1 species
AUUUCAUACUGUGAGAAUAUAUACCUGGUAUAUAAAUAAGAGGUUAUUUAAUGCGUGUUCAGGAGUAAUUACAUAAACACCACUGACAGUAAAAGCAUUCAGGAAGGAGCCUUGCUGUCUUUCUGUAUGCAUACCUUCAGGCUUCCUCGUAUUAUAAAACAUGAAGUCUAUUACCAAAGAAGAAAUCCUUUUUUGGAGGGUGAGGACAGUGGUAUAGUCUUAUGAGACUGCUCAUUCUUUUUUCUUCUCUAGGUAUGGCCCUAAAAUGCCUCUUGCAGUGGAUUGCACUGCUGAACUGAUUCGUUGCAAGGUCCUGGAUUCAUCUGGCAAAUUGAGAUCACAUGAACUCAUUCUCUCAUAUGGUCUAGCUCUUGUAAGGUUUGUCAACUUGAUCACAGAAAGAAAACAGAAAACAGUCAGCGUUCCUCUGAGAAAACUAGCCAUAGAGGUAAAUAUCUAAAGAAAGUUUCUCAGUAACCCAUGCAUAGAGAAAGCAUAUACAUAUUUUGUAUUAAUAAUAGCAGAUCAUUUUUUUCUUAAAGAUAUAGAGCCCAAUUCAUUCUGACAACAAAGAAGUAAUACAAUGAGAAAGUACAGCAAUAAUAGCAGCUAUAAAUACAGGAAGGAAGGAAGGAAACUCACAACUACUUACCUUAAAAAACAAAACCAAAAAANNNNNNNNNNNNNNNNNNNNNNNNNNNNNNNNNNNNNNNNNNNNNNNNNNNNNNNNNNNNNNNNNNNNNNNNNNNNNNNNNNNNNNNNNNNNNNNNNNNNCGCUGGAGGGACCCUCUGCGAGGCCGCCUCGGAAGGGGAGCGGCGUUGGUGGCGGCGGCUGAGGCCCACCGGGGCAAAAGCUGAGGAGUGGUCCAUCGUCCCCGAAAUCAGAAUGAGACAUCUGAAAUGCCUAUGCUGCAGGAUGCUCCAGCUACAAUAUCUUCAGAAAUCCCUGCUGUGAAUGUGCUGCACCAAGAUCUGACCUCCACUACAGACCUCUCCUUUGCCAGCUGCUGAGAAAGGAUUGAAGUAUCAAGUAGUCCAUUUGCUUACCUAUAUUUAAAGGCUUAGCCAUGUGUGAAAACAAACCCAUUCAUGGAUUCCUUGAGAGCUACAGACAAGAGUUAUCUUUCCUACCCAACUGAAGGAUGAGAUUUUAAAGGGUAAAAGAGUCAGCUGUCAAAACCUCCUCCUUGGAAGAGUCUGUACAGAUAAGUAACAUUGCCUCAAAAAUGCCAUUAUUUCCAGCCCACUCAGGGCCUAGAUAAUAUUCAAGUAUUUCAGAAUUUUAAGCAUUCUUCUGGGAGAAGACCUGGUAUUUCUCUGGGGAUUUAUUAUCUUGGUUUUCUUCAGAUCACAUAUUCUUUUAGAUAGAAAAAGCACACCAGUGAUGUGGUCUGGAAAAAAAAAAAAAAAAAAAAGAAAGAAAUAUUUAGCAUGAGCUCUUUCUUCAAUAUACAGCUUUCUUGGAUUAAUGCUGGGUAACUUGAAACUUUCCCAUAGCUUUGAAAGAAUCAUAGAAUUUGGGUUGGAAGGGACCUUUAAGAUCAUCUAGUUCCAACCCGCUGCUAUAGGCAGGGACACCUCCUGCUAGACCAGAUUGCUCAAAGCCCCAUCCAGUCUGGCCUUGAAUGCUUCCAGGGAGGGGGCACAAACUCAUUGAGGGCAACUGUCCAGUCAAUUCCUUAUUCUGUGAGUGGUCCAGCCAUCAAAUCCAUUUUUCUCCAAUUUUGCAACCAGGAUGUCAUGAAGGACGGUGUCAAAUGCCAAGUCCACAUAGAUCCCAGAAUCACAGAAUCACCAAGGUUGGAAAAGACCUGCAAUAUCAUCCAGUCCAACCAUCCACCUAUCACCUAUCACCAUGAUGUCAGUUUCUCUUCCUUUAUCCACUGAUACUGUAAUUCCAUCAUAAAAGGCCACCAAGUUUGUCAGGCAUGACUUGUCCUUAGUGAAGCCAUUUUGGUUACCACCAAUCACCUCUUUAUUUUCCAUGUGCCUCAGUAGGGCCUUCAGGAGGACCUGCUGCAUGAUCUUGCCAGGCACAGAGGUGAGGCCUGUAGUUCCCUGGAUUAUUUUUUUUUUUUCUUCUUGAAAAUAAGGUUAUGUUUCCCCUCAUCCUAUGAGUGGGAACUUCACCAGACCACCAUGACCUUUGUCAUGUUGUUUGCUUUCUACACUUUAAAAACUUUUCAGCAAUAAGAAGAACAAGGGGGAAUCUAACAGAUAUUCUGGGACCUGACUCCAAAUAUUUGCAGCUCAAGUAAUAGAUAACACAGCUAGCAAGGACAAAACUGUGAGUGGGCAUAAACUGCCAGUUUGGAUGAAAGGCAGUGGUGUAAAAAUGCUCAGAAGGCUAGGUAGGAUUGGAACAAUGUGAGCUUUAUAGACUGACACUGCCACCUUCUCAGUGCAAGAGGAUGGGCAAAAGUACCCCUGGCCCAUUUAAUCUCAAACUAAUCAAGAGAGAUUAUUUGUAUGGAUGAUGGAGGAAUUAGCUCAUACUUUCUUAACAGGACAAUUCAAAUCUUUGUAUGUAUAAAACCCAGAAAAUUUUUUAUCUAAUAGAGCUCAGCCCAGCAAGUGCUUAUAUGCAACAGUGGCAAACUUUGUUGCAGAAAGGAAGAUGAGUUGGAUUCUUAAGCUAAGCACCCACAACGAAAUAUCACAGCUAGACUAACUGCAAAGAGAGCCUGAUCAUAACAGGAAACAGUGGAGGCAGGCCCACAGUGCUGUGAUACAUUGAGUAGGGCGUGGUGAUUGCUAAUAUUCAACCACAAAGGCUUUUAGUCCAUGCACAGCCAUGGAGAACAGCCGAGGCUUUUUCUAUUUGGUUCAUGGGAUGACAAAGGAGGAGCUCUACAGUCAGGAAGGAAGGAGGCCUUGCAAGGUAUAUUAAUCUCUUGCGGAAUCAGCAGAAUUAUACCAGGGCUGAAUUUGAGAUAAAUGAAGUGAGAGCAAAUUACUGUGGCAAUUCUUGCCAAGUUUAUUAGAAAUAUCAGAGUUCUGUGCACAAGUAUCAGUAGUUUGCCUGCCCUGGUUCAUACCGAGUAUGACAGAGACUGAUGGUCUUUGUUGAUCUUUCAUAAGAUGCACAACAAUUCCUGUGACAAGAUGUCAGUGACAUUAUGAAAGAAGAGGUAAUUUAAACUAUUCAUUCCUAUUCCUCUUCCAUAUUCUCAUUCGUAUUCCUUCCCCUCCCCCCCAAAAUCACAUAAGGUGAUUCAUUAAAGAUUUACCUGCCAGCACCCAUGGAAAAAUCUUCAAAAAGCAUAUGAGGAAUCUCUGACCAUCCAGUAAUUCUUUGUUGUUGUAGAAAAUAAAGAAGGAAAGAAUGCGUGGAGGAGGAAAGAGCUUGUUUUAUGGGAGUAGAAAGCAGCAAAUAGGAAAGAGAGCUCUGCAGGGACAGCAAUAACAAGUCUCUUCAGAAGUCCUGUGGCUGCCAUCUACACAGGAUCUGCCUACACUGUUCAAAGAUCACAGGUUUCUUUUUCAUAUAAAAAUGACCAAUUUGCUUCUCUCUGAGCAAAGUAAAAGUACCUCAGACACUGCAAAGUCACGGACCCCAUCCUAAGGAAUUUUUUAUUUUAUUUUAUUAUUAUUUUAUUUUUUUUUUUUUAGGGACAGAGACUAGAAGAUAGCUUUCCUUAGUUCCUGUAAGCUGCACCAGUGACUGGAUGAUUUUUCAUUCUUUAUUAGCCCAGCUAUAAAAUUAAUGUAAUAAUAUUGGCUCUCUUAGAGGUACAGACAAAAUGUCCAUGUUCAGGUUUCAGGCAACAGUGCAGAUGCUAUGCUAUAUUUUGUGUUAAUUAUGUUAGUAAACAUUUAUACACAGUGCCUGAACUCUUAAUUGAAAAUAAUUGUUUCCUAAUUUUUUUUAUUUUUUUUAUUUUUAUUUUUUUGAGACAGUGCAAAGAGUGUAUCCAGCCCGGCCUUGAGCAUCUCCAGGAAUGGGACACCCACACUUCUCUGGACAGCCUAUGCCAGGGCCACCCUCUGAGCAAAGAAUUUCCUCCUCACAUUUAACUUAAGACUCCCCACUUUUAGUUUAAAACCAUUUCCUCUUGUUCUAUCACUAUCAGAUCAUGUUGAAAUACCACCAGCUAAUAUUUGCAUAAUAGAUGUAGAUAAUCAAGGAGUCUAACUCUCCACAUCUUAGUAUCAUCAUGCACAGCAAAAGAUUUAAGUUUCUUCACUUGAGAAAUGUUUCUUUACUCAUGUUGCACAGUUGCCAAGAACAGCUGGAAAGUCAGCCAGGUACCUACCUGAUCCACUUACGCUAUAGAUGCACAAAUACUGCUGCAUGGUUGGAUUUGAACUUCUCAAUGUUACAGCAUAACCAUUUGUGCACUCUGUUCUUUAUAGGAAGUGGUGGUGCAGCCUGCUAAUCCAAGAAUUUCCUUGCUUACAUGAGAAAUUCAAACAGAGCAAGAGAAUAAUAGACCCUGACAUUGGUCUUGACCAAAG